UAACCAAAGAUUUUUGUUGGAUUCUUGGAGAUGGUUCAAAUAUACAAUUCUGGCAUAACAUUUGGUUAGAUGAUAUACCACUUAAAGCUCGCUUUCACAGAUUAUUCAGAUUGGCUUCUGACAAGAAGGCUUUUGUAAGGAAUUGUGGUUUCUUCUUUAACAGUGUGUGGCAUUGGAAGCUAGAGUGGUUAACGGAGUGAAGAUCCUUUGAAGAGGAUCAAUGGCAGCAGCUAGAAACUCCAUUACAGCCUAUUUCAGUAUUCCAACAAGCCAAGGAUAGAAUAGCUUGGAUGCAUGAUCUUAAAGAUAUAAGUUUAAUGUUGAUGGAGCUUCAAGAGGAAAACGAGGUCCUGCUGGUUUCGGUGGUGUGGAAGGAACAAUAAAGAUUCGUUAGCUAAAAAGGGAGUUUAAACUCAUGAAGAUUUUCUUGCUUGGUUAUAAUGAAGGAAAGACCAAUAUGUAAAUCUUUUGGACCGUAAUUCUUCAGUAUGAUUAGUUAUGAAGACACUUUGUAGCAGGUUAGGUUGGAUGUAAAUCAUUUGGUUUUGUAUUUUCUUUUCUUUUUUUUUUAAUUAUUAUGACAAUUUAGGUAUUAGUUAUUUUAAGAGUUUUGGAUAGUUUCUGAUGUUUUCCAGUUUGUUGUAUAUGAUAUUUCGAUCAGUUUUUUUUAUUUGA